rnacentral:rRNA from 1 species
GGCGAACGCUGGCGGCGUGCUUAACACAUGCAAGUCGAACGGAAAGGCCCUGCUUUUGUGGGGUGCUCGAGUGGCGAACGGGUGAGUAACACGUGAGUAACCUGCCCUUGACUUUGGGAUAACUUCAGGAAACUGGGGCUAAUACCGGAUAGGAGCUCCUGCUGCAUGGUGGGGGUUGGAAAGUUUCGGCGGUUGGGGAUGGACUCGCGGCUUAUCAGCUUGUUGGUGGGGUAGUGGCUUACCAAGGCUUUGACGGGUAGCCGGCCUGAGAGGGUGACCGGCCACAUUGGGACUGAGAUACGGCCCAGACUCCUACGGGAGGCAGCAGUGGGGAAUAUUGCACAAUGGGCGGAAGCCUGAUGCAGCAACGCCGCGUGCGGGAUGACGGCCUUCGGGUUGUAAACCGCUUUCGCCUGUGACGAAGCGUGAGCGACGGUAAUGGGUAAAGAAGCACCGGCUAACUACGUG